AGCGGCGGCGACGGGGGAAGAUGGCGGCGCGGCGGGGCCCGGGGCCGGUGGCGGCGCUGGCGCUGCUGGCGCUGCUCGGCCCGGGGUGGCCCCUCCGCGGGGCCCGGGCCACGCUCAACCUGCAGGAGCUCAGCGAGCUGAAGUACGGCCUCGAGAUCCUGGCCGAGCCGGUGCUGGCCGGGCAGCGGCAGGACGUGGUGACGGUGGCAUCGCGGUUCAAGCAGCUGUACGAGUGCCACCUGCCCCCCGCGGCCGUGGCACCGCCCCCGGGACCCCCCCGGGACCCCCGCGGGUACAACGGCUCCGGCGUGGCCGAGCUGCUGCGGCCCAUGGGCACCGCGCCCUGCCUGGUCAAGACCAAGGACUGGUGGACGUACGAGUUCUGCUACGGGCGCCACAUCCAGCAGUACCACCUGGAAGAGUCGGAGAUCAAGGGCGAUGUGCUGGUGCUGGGCUAUUACCAGUCUGCCUUCGACUGGGACGACGAGGCUGCCAAGGCCUCCAAGCAGCACCAGCUGAGGCGCUACCACAGCCAGAGCUACGUCAACGGCUCCCGCUGCGACCUGACCGGGCGUGCCCGCGAGGCCGAGGUCCGGUUCCUGUGCGAGGAGGGCACGGGCGAUUACAUUGCCCGCGUGGACGAGCCGCAGUCGUGCCAGUACGUGCUGACCGUGCACACCACGCGCAUCUGCCACCACCCGUUCCUGCGCCCUGCCCCGGGGCUGGCACCGCUGCCCAUCCGCUGCCAGCCUGCCCUCUCGCCCGCCCAGUACGUGCAGUACGUGCGUGCCCAAGUCUCUGUCCGUGUGUCCCCAGCUGACACCAAGCGCAAGGUGGAGGAGAUCUCGGAGGAGCUGCGCUCGCUGGACACGCGGCUCUGGAGUGACAGGGACAGCGAGGUGCCAUCGCCAGGGGCACCCAGGGACACCCCGGAGGGGACCCAGGCAGAGCCAGCGCAGGAUGUGCCAGCCGGGGAGCACGAGGUGCCAGCCACAGCCGGUGCCCAGCAGGACAGCGCCAGGGAGCCAUCCCCGAGGGCAGCCGGCGGUCGGGCAGCUGACCCCCGCAGGAGGAUCCACUUCAAGGUGAUCCGCAGCCCCGGGGACCUGCUGCAGUUCCUCGAGGAGCUCAAGGAGACCACCAGGAAGGCCAGGGAGAAGGCCAGCGAGGAGGAGGAGGAAGAGGGGGAGGAGGAGGAAGCAGCCAAGGCUGCCCCAGCCCCGCCGGGCCCUGCAGAGCCCCCCAGCCCCGAGGCCCUGCCCGGCCCCGAGGCCCCGCCCGCGGCGGAGGAGGAGGAGGAGGGUGAGGAUGAAGAUGAGGAGGAGGAGGAGGAGGCGGGGCCGCUGCUGGCGGGGCUGGAGCUGCUGCCGCGGGAGCAGGUGGCGAGGCUGAAGGAGGAGGUGAAGAACCAGAUGGAGCAGGAGUUCGACAGCAUCAUCAGCGAGGUGGAGGAGGAGCUGGAGACCGAGGGGCUCAAGGGCGAGUUCGACCGGAGCCGCGCCACGCGGACCCUGGCGAGCACCCUGAGCCGCCUGAUGGAGCGGCUGGACCGGCCCGAGCCCCGCCGCGACCCCCCCGGGGCCCGCAGGGAGGAAGAGGAGCAGGAGGAGGAAGAGGAGGAAGGAGCCGCGAGGAAGGGCAGCAGCCCCCGGCCGGCCAAGGACGGGCGGGUGCGGGUGCGGAUGGGCAGGGCCGGGAGCCGGGACACCCCCAAGGAUCCGGAACCCCCCCGGGAGAAGCAGGAGCCCCCCCGGGACAAGCAGAGCCCCCCGCAGGUGGAGAACGAGGUGCGGGAGCUGCUGGCCAAGGAGGGGCUGCGCGCUGAAGGGAAAAUCGAGAUCAAGAUCGUGACGGCGGCGGCGGGCGGCGAGGAGGAGGAGGGGGCGCAGUGGCUGUCGGAGGAGGAUUCGCGGAGCCUCAAGGAGAUUUUCCUCAGCAUCCUGGUGCAGGGCACGGAGGUGAGGUGGGCACUGGGGUGACAGGGGACACAGAUGUUGGUGGGCACAGCUGGGCACUGAUUCCCGCUUUGCCCCAGGUGCAGGGCACGGAGGUGUGGGGAGCACAGAGGUGAGGUGGGCACAGAGGUGAAGGGGCACAGAUGCCAGGUGGGCACUGAUUGCCCCUCUCCGCAGGUGCAGGGCACAGAGGUGUGGGGAGCACAGAGGUGAGGUGGGCACAGAGGGGAAGGGGCAUAGAUGCCAGGUGGGCACUGAUUUGCCCCUUUACCCCAGGUGCAGAGCACAGAGGUGAGGUGGGCACAGAGAUCCGAGUGGGCACAGAUGUCUGUGGGCACUGAGGGGAUUGGAGUGGGCACAGAUGCCAGGUGGGCACUGAUUCCUCCCUGCCCAGGUGCAGGGCACAGAGGUGAGGUGGGCACAGAGGUGAAGGGGCACAGAUGUCAGUGAGUACAGGUGGGCACUGAUUCCCCCUUUGCCCCAGGUGCAGGGCACGGAGGUGUGGGGAGCAC